AUAGAGUUUAAUAUAUGUAAUAAUUAAUUGAGUUAUAUUUUAAUUUUUGAUUAUUAUGAAAUUUAUUUAAUUGGGGUGAUUAAGAGAUAAAUAAAACUCUUUUUAAAUAUUAAUAAUAUAUUUAGUUGUAUGAUCCAUAAUUAAUGAUUAUAAGAUUAAAUUACCUUAGGGAUAACAGCAUAAUUCCUUUUAAGAGUUCAUAUUGAAAAAGGAGAUUGUGACCUCGAUGUUGGAUUAAGAUUAGUUUUGGGUGUAGAUGUUCUAUAACUAGGUCUGUUCGUCCUUAAAAUUCUUACA
rnacentral:rRNA from 1 species